UUUCGACACACUAUCAUUAACUGAAUCCAUAGGUUAAUGAGGCGAACCGGGGGAACUGAAACAUCUAAGUACCCCGAGGAAAAGAAAUCAACCGAGAUUCCCCCAGUAGCGGCGAGCGAACGGGGAGCAGCCCAGAGCCUGAAUCAGUGUGUGUGUUAGUGGAAGCGUCUGGAAAGGCGCGCGAUACAGGGUGACAGCCCCGUACACAAAAACGCCGG
rnacentral:rRNA from 1 species